rnacentral:rRNA from 1 species
AACUUGACAUAUCAUUGAUAUUAAUAAUCUAAUUUUACAGAAAUGGAGAUAUUAAGUGUAUUAGGGAUGUCUUCCUUUUUGUAUAACGGGUAAACUAUAAUCUCUUUAUUUUAAGGUUCCCGAAAGUAGAAGAUCUAACCUUUAGUGGCUUUUAGGCUUUGAAGUAUUAUGUGGCAUUAUAACAUGUUAACUUAAGGUUAGGGGCGAAAUACCUACAAUUCUACUAAUAUCUGGAUUUAAGUUAAAAGUAUAUAGUACUGAAAACAAGUAUGUAGUAUUAAGGCUACAUACUAAAAAGAUCUAGGAUAUUCUAGGUUGACAUCUAGGGCUAAAAACUCCAGUUGUAAAUAAACCCAAAGAUUAAUUUCCUAUGUUAUUUUUCUUAUAACUUUAACAUUAGUAAAAACUUUCUUAUUAUUAGAUAAUGUUUAUAUUAGUAAUAAAUACUUUAAAAUUCUAAAUAUAGGGAAAGGAACUCGGCAAACCUUACUUUAACUGUUUACCAAAAACAUAGCCUUAAGUUUUAUUUAAGGUGAAGCCUGCCCAGUGCCUAGCGUUAACGGCCGCAGUACCUUGACUGUGCUAAGGUAGCAUAAUCAGUUGGCUUUUAAAUGGAGUCGGGAAUGAAUGGACUAAUGGAGUGAAGCUGUCUCUCCUAUAUUAAAUUUAAUUUACUUAUUAAGUGAAAAUGCUUAAAUUAAGAAAAAAGACGAGAAGACCCUAGGAGUUUUAACUAAAUACUAUUUAUAUAGUUUAUGUUUUUGUUGGGGCGACAUAGGAGUAAUUUUAAACCUCCUUUAUUUUAUUUGCCGACUAUGUAUGUAAAUUUAAACUACCCUAGGGAUAACAGCGUAAUUCUUUUUGAGCUUGCGACCUCGAUGUUGGACUAGGAAUUUGGUAGGCUAGCCGCCUACCGCCUAUUUAUAUUGUUCUGUUCGAACUAUUUUUCCU